rnacentral:rRNA from 1 species
AUUGAACGCUGGCGGCAUGCCUUACACAUGCAAGUCGAACGGCAGCACGGGAGCAAUCCUAGUGGCGAGUGGCGAACGGGUGAGUAAUAUAUCGGAACGUGCCCAGUCGUGGGGAUAACGUAGCGAAAGCUACGCUAAUACCGCAUACGAUCUAUGGAUGAAAGCGGGGGAUCGCAAGACCUCGCGCGAUUGGAGCGGCCGAUAUCAGAUUAGGUAGUUUGGUGAGGUAAAGGCUCACCAAGCCGACGAUCUGUAGCUGGUCUGAGAGGACGACCAGCCACACUGGGACUGAGACACGGCCCAGACUCCUACGGGAGGCAGCAGUGGGGAAUUUUGGACAAUGGCGCAAGCCUGAUCCAGCAAUGCCGCGUGCAGGAUGAAGGCCU